UCCAGCGCACUCACCUAUCCACUAAACAGCAACUUCAAUGUUGAAAGAUUUUAUUUGUGGCAGGCUUAUGCAAUGUAUGAUCAUAUAAUGUAACUAAACCCCCAUUAUUUUUGCCUAGAUUAGGUGUUUUAAAAAAAACAAACAAAUAAAAUCUUUCAACAUUGAAGUUGCUGUUUAGUGGAUAGGUGAGUGCGCUGGA